rnacentral:rRNA from 1 species
UACGUAGGUGGCUAGCGUUGUCCGGAUUUACUGGGCGUAAAGAGCGCGCAGGCGGUCGUUCAAGUCGAGUGUGAAAGCCCCCGGCUCAACUGGGGAGGGUCACUCGAUACUGAUCGACUUGAAGGCGGGAGAGGGAAGCGGAAUUCCCGGUGUAGUGGUGAAAUGCGUAGAUAUCGGGAGGAACACCAGUGGCGAAGGCGGCUUUCUGGCCCGUUCUUGACGGCUGAGGCGCGAAAGCGUGGGGAGCAAACAGG